ACGCUCGACACCUACGGGAGCAGCAGUGGGGAAUAUUGCACAAUGGGGGAAACCCUGAUGCAGCAACGCCGCGUGAGUGAAGAAGUAUUUCGGUAUGUAAAGCUCUAUCAGCAGGGAAGAAAAUGACGGUACCUGACUAAGAAGCCCCGGCUAACUACGUGCCAACAGCCGCGGUAAUCUGAGCGGGCUGGCAAGGC
rnacentral:rRNA from 1 species